rnacentral:rRNA from 1 species
UACGGGAGGCAGCAGUGGGGAAUAUUGCACAAUGGGCGAAAGCCUGAUGCAGCUAUGCCGCGUGUAUGAAGAAGGCCUUAGGGUUGUAAAGUACUUUCAUCGGGGAGGAAAAAACAAAACUAAUAAUUUUAUUUCUUGACGUUACCCGAAAAAGAAGCACCGGCUAACUCCGUGCCAGCAGCCGCGGUAAUACGGAGGGUGCUAGCGUUAAUCAGAAUUACUGGGCGUAAAGAGCACGUAGGUGGUUUUUUUAAAGUCAGAUGUGAAAUCCCUGGGCUUAACCUAGGAACUGCAUUUUGAAACUGAAAUACUAGAGUAUCGUAGAGGGAGGUAGAAUUCUAGGUGUAGCGGUGAAAUGCGUAGAUAUCUGGAGGAAUACCUGUGGCGAAAGCGGCCUCCUAAACGAAUACUGACACUGAGGUGCGAAAAGCGUGGGGAGCGAAAACAGGGAUUAGAUACC